GACGAACCGUGCGAACGUUGUUCGGAAUCACUGGGCUUAAAGGGCGCGUAGGCGGGCAUUCAAGUCAGGGGUGAAAUCCUCCAGCUCAACUGGAGAACUGCCUUUGAUACUGGGUGCCUCGAGUGAGGUAGGGCGUGCGGAACUGAUGGUGGAGCGGUGAAAUGUGUUGAUAUCAUCAGGAACUCCGGUGGCGAAAGCGGCGCGCUGGACCUCUUCUGACGCUGAGGCGCGAAAGCUAGGGGAGCAAACGGG
rnacentral:rRNA from 1 species